rfam:Myotis lucifugus cont2.38052, whole genome shotgun sequence.
GGCAGUUCUCGGGUGAUGCACCCCAGAAUCAAGCUGCCUCCUCUCUGGUUCCAGGUGUGUCACCUGAGAACCGCA